rnacentral:rRNA from 1 species
ACCCUUAGUCGACGGAGGGAUAGACGGACGAAUUCCGUCUAAUACCGCAUAACACCUUUAGGAGACAUCUUCUUGGGGGUCAAAGGAGGCGACUCCGGCAUAGGAUGGCCAUGCGUCGCAUUAGCUAGUCGGCGGGGUAACGGCCCACCGAGGCGACGAUGCGUAGGGGUUCUGAGAGGAAGGUCCCCCACACUGGUACUGAGACACGGACCAGACUCCUACGGAAGGCAGCAG